UGCGUAGGUGGUUAAUUAAGUUAUCUGUGAAAUCCCUGGGCUCAACCUGGGCAGGUCAGAUAAUACUGGUUAACUCGAGUAUGGGAGAGGGUAGUGGAAUUUCCGGUGUAGCGGUGAAAUGCGUAGAGAUCGGAAGGAACACCAGUGGCGAAGGCGGCUACCUGGCCUAAUACUGACACUGAGGCACGAAGCGUGGGGAGCAAACA
rnacentral:rRNA from 1 species